rnacentral:rRNA from 1 species
AUGGUACUAGCUGACGACAAUUUCAGUACCAUAGUUGCCGCAGUUGGUGAAGGAAGAUCUAUUUACAAUAACAUGAAAGCUUUCAUAAGAUACAUGAUUUCCUCAAACAUUGGUGAAGUUGCUUCAAUCUUCCUUACCUCUGCUUUGAGUAUUCCUGAGGGGUUGAUACCUGUUCAACUUCUAUGGGUAAAUCUCGUCACCGGUGGCCCCUCCGCAACUGCUUUGGGUUUCAAUCCGCCUGACAAGGACAUCAUGAAGAAACCACCAAGGAGGAGCGACGACUCAUUGACUACUCCCUGGUUUUUGUUCUGUUACCUGGUCAUUGGCCUUUACAUGGGGGUUACAACCCUUUUGUAUCUUUGUCAUCUGUUACACCCACGGAUCUUUCAUGGGCAUUGA